ACACUUUUAAAAAACUAUGAAGGCCGGAAUUCAUGUAAGCUGAUGUGGAUGAACUGAGUAACAUGGAACAGUGUGAAGGCAGAGAGGAGGGAGUCCCUCCCUCUAAAACCACUCUAUGUGGGGAACAAGAGAACCAGAACAACUCUCACAGGAAUCAGCCAGAUCCUGAUCCUGAACCUGAACAUGAACCUGAACCCAGCUGUGUGUCAUUGAAAAGCAACUUUUCAAAGGAGAUUAUUGAAGACUUUAAACAAACACAUUCAUCUGAGAUAAAG